UACGUAGGGGGCUAGCGUUGUCCGGAAUCAUUGGGCGUAAAGCGCGUGUAGGCGGUCCGGUAAGUCCGCUGUGAAAGUCGGGGGCUCAACCCUCGGAUGCCGGUGGAUACUGUCGGGCUUGAGUCCGGAAGAGGAGAGUGGAAUUCCCGGUGUAGCGGUGAAAUGCGCAGAUAUCGGGAAGAACACCCGUGGCGAAGGCGGCUCUCUGGGACGGUACUGACGCUGAGACGCGAAAGCGUGGGGAGCGAACAGG
rnacentral:rRNA from 1 species